CCUAUACUCUGUUCUUCUUCCAAAAUCACAUUCACAUUUUCAUCUUACCCAAAGAUCACCUCAACAUCUUCUUUUUUCCAGAAAAUCGGACGCUCCAGGCUCCUCUCCAUCACCUCCCCCACGUGCUCCCCCAUCCCCCUCGUCAGAAUGGCUCUGGUCGUCGGAAAAACGCCUUAUCAAUCACUCAAUGCUUUCAAAUCCACCUGAAAAGGCGAUUCUUGGGGGAUUUUUCUCCCCCUUCAUCAUUAGUCCUCCCGUUUUGGCUUUUCAAGAAUUCAAAGUUUGAAUUCUUGAAGCCAAUAGAGGUUGCGAUUUUGGCAAUAAAAAGGAGCCAUUUGGUUCCUUCUAAGGACGAGAAAAAAAAGGAUCCGGAAAUCAGUUAAAAAACAUCCAAAAAUCGACGGGAAAAAUCCAUCAACAAACUGAAAACAUCCAGAAAAUCAUAGAGUUUCAGAAAUAAACAAAAGGGUAACACAAAGCUUUUAGAGUUCGAAAGUUCGGUUCUGAAUUCGAGUUUUGAGGAAGUUAGGAGUCGAAAUCUCUUGACGUCAAAGCUCUUGUUUGCUGCUCCAAAAGAGGUAAAUAAAAAGAAACGGAAGUUAUUCCUUUUAUACAAUUCACUUCAUCUCCUUCCUCUCUCCCAUACCCUUCAAUUUCUCCUAAAUUCUCUCCACAAAAUUAGUUUGAAUUUCAAAUCUUCACCACUACGCUCUCAAUCGCGACUUCAAAAAUUUCAGGUACUGCCAAAACCUGUCUAUAUU